AUUCUUCUCCUGACAUCAUCUUCACCAACUCCUCCACAAUUGUCAGAUUUCCAUUCAUAAGCUGCUACAUGAAGGGCAGUUCUACCAUAGGGUUUAAUCUUGGCCUUUUUUGCAUUUGGAUAUCGGCUAAGAUAGGUUUUUAUGGCAUCCCAGUCUCCAUUAUGUGU